rnacentral:rRNA from 1 species
GAUGAACGCUGGCGGCGUGCCUAAUACAUGCAAGUCGAGCGAACAGACGAGGAGCUUGCUCCUCUGACGUUAGCGGCGGACGGGUGAGUAACACGUGGAUAACCUACCUAUAAGACUGGGAUAACUUCGGGAAACCGGAGCUAAUACCGGAUAAUAUAUUGAACCGCAUGGUUCAAUAGUGAAAGACGGUUUUGCUGUCACUUAUAGAUGGAUCCGCGCCGCAUUAGCUAGUUGGUAAGGUAACGGCUUACCAAGGCGACGAUGCGUAGCCGACCUGAGAGGGUGAUCGGCAACACUGGAACUGAGACACGGUCCAGACUCCUACGGGAGGCAGCAGUAGGGAAUCUUCCGCAAUGGGCGAAAGCCUGACGGAGCAACGCCGCGUGAGUGAUGAAGGUCUUCGGAUCGUAAAACUCUGUUAUUAGGGAAGAACAAAUGUGUAAGUAACUAUGCACGUCUUGACGGUACCUAAUCAGAAAGCCACGGCUAACUACGU